rnacentral:tRNA from 1 species
GCCGGCGGGACUACAGGGUCAGAGCGUCCGCUUCGUCGCGGAAGGCCGGCGGUUCAAGUCCGCCCCCGGCA